UACAGAGGGUGCAAGCGUUAAUCGGAAUUACUGGGCGUAAAGCGCGCGUAGGUGGUUUGUUAAGUUGGAUGUGAAAGCCCCGGGCUCAACCUGGGAACUGCAUCCAAAACUGGCAAGCUAGAGUACGGUAGAGGGUGGUGGAAUUUCCUGUGUAGCGGUGAAAUGCGUAGAUAUAGGAAGGAACACCAGUGGCGAAAGCGGCUUCCUGGUCCAGCACCGACGUUCAGGCACGAAAGCGUGGGGAGCAAACAGG
rnacentral:rRNA from 1 species